CCAAGUUUUCAACUCGAGACGCUUUUGAUCCUUUUGUCGGCGAAAAUUCGAUCGAAGAAGAGACUGUGCGCAGGAGACACACUGUCUGGCCCGACUCGCAAGCGCUAUUCGUCAAUGAAUGCUUGGAUCCUUGUACACGGAGCGUAUCCUUUGCUACACUUCUAAACUACCUGUGCCCGUAAAGCAGCAAACAUCGAAACAACCGAUCGACGACACAAGAGAGGAUCGCGCUGUGCUUGAUCCUUUUCGCAUUGGCACAGUGCCCGUUCCAUUCAUGAAAAGUGUCUUCCAGCUUCAUUCAUCGCUUUUCGGUGCCCGUUGUUCGCGCAGACCCAUUCAUGGGCACCCGAGGCACCGCCACAAAAGGCAGACGAAUACAGCUGAGCAUUCUCCUGCCCGAUGACAAUGGACAUUCCUGUACAUGUCUGUGUGUGUGUGUGUGUGUGUGAGUCCUUUUCUCCCUAUUGUCUUCUGCCUUCGAACCUGUUACAAGGCGUAGGAAAGGAGAGAAAAGGACACUUACCUAAGGCGGGCGGACACAUGCCGGGCGGAAAAUAGCUCAACACGCACCCCGACUGACUUUGGCUAACUAGGUGUAUCGCGGACCAUUAGAACAGAGAGGAGACGGCCUCUCCAGCCCCCGGUAGGGUGUCCUUCGAUGUCUCCAGGUGCGUCUGGUGCGACACAAACUGCCAGCCCAUCCUCACCAGUCACCUCUCAGUGGGACUGAACGUAAACCCACACAAGGACACAUCCUUGUUCACUUGACUUGACUUGGCCUCCCUGCAGAGUCCCUGGAGCGUUUCUGGAGUGGAGUGUUCUUCUGCUAUUGGAUUUGAAUUUGUCACCACCCGCCGGGAGCCCGGAAUGGAAUGCCAAUUUUCGAUGGAAGCGUCCUGCACCGCGGGAAGUCAUUGCUGGUGAUGUAAAAUUUUGGUGACCUGCAGGAAUUGUAAGAACCUGUGUAGCGUUUUGCCGUACUCCGAUGUAACGACGAUAAUAUCGUGGGAACGCAUUCGCAAACGGUCGGCGUUGGCACUGUGGUAAUGUGCAUGCAAUUUUCAAUCGUAUUCCCAAAGUGCGGAAGAGAGAACAACUAACCUGGCUGAAACUGCUUCAUCAUGCACUUUGGUGCUUUGGUUUGUUGCGGACCUGUUGUACCGACUGUUUAUCAAUGGCAAAGACAAUCCAUCAUCUCCAAGGGAAAAAAGGCUCAAUGUUUGCGGAAAAGGUUGCUUUUAUAAAUCGAUCGAUAUCGAUUAUUAAGCACUAUAAAGAAACGAUCAAGCGGGGGACUCACUUUAGAGUAGUCAUCUUGGGAAGGGAAUAGUCUUGUCCUUACUUCAAGUAGGCCUUGGGAACGGCUUUUUGCACAAAGAUCUGCGAAAAAAGCGUACAGGUUCUCGCUCAAAUUGCUGUCAUCCACUUACAACUUCAUCAAGAUCAGUUUCGAGAUGAUCUGUUGUGUCUUCUCUACAGAAAAAAGGACCAAUAAUUCCCACCGGAGUGAUCCGCACGACUUUUACAAAUCCGUACUUCCUUCCUAAAUGCUGGAAUUGCAGCAGCCACAAAAAAAUCGCAGUUUUUCCCUCGUCAAAAUGCAUUCAACAAGUAUAAAGGACUGCAGUGAGCAGGAAGCUCCUACUGAAAAUCGCACCUCAGGAAUGUCCGAAAGGUGAAUCCCCGAGAAACGUUUCCACAAAAGACAUCCUAAUAAGCUUCCAAUAGUUCCACCCGUUCCAAAGGCAUGGCAGUCGCGCCAGGAAGUGGUUGAAGGAUUCUUCAUUCUUAUAAGAUCAUCACAGCAAAGGUGUGCUCACUCUGGACCUUAAAGGGCUCACACACGGAAGGAUCCAGCUGAGCGCGCCCCGAAACGGCUGGAGAUGUUUUCGAAAGCAAUUUUCACUCCUCCCCCCAGCCAACCACUCGAGCAGCGUGUCGAAAUUAAGCUCUAAAUACGUUCUUGCAACGGCCGACACCGGUACGGCACCCGGAACGUUCCGAGGCCGGUGUUCGUUCCGGUCGAUUUUCCUCUUCACACCACGGCCGUUUUUUGUUCUUCUUCUGUGUGGACCUCACGGACAAACACAACCCAGGACAG